rnacentral:snRNA from 1 species
AUCAGUGGCAGUAUCGUAGCCAAUGAGGUUAAUCCGAGGCACGAUUAUUGCUAAUUGUUAACUAAACCAAUAAUU